UCUCUAUGACAUCCAACCUGGACAAGAUCAGCCUUGAUACAAGUAUUUGUUCUGGCCUCCCUUCCUUCCUUUUUGCAGCCUCUUGACUAGUUUUACCUUUGUGUUUACCUUUUUAUAGCUUUGCCUGUCUGGCUGUCUCUGCUGUGUGUCUGAUGAAUGAUAUGCUCUGGAAAAUGUGAUAUGCUGAGUUUCUCAAGGCGACAGGAAUGAUAUGCAAAACAGAUGAUGUUUAAGCUGCUGUGCUGGAUUUAUGACUGCAUUUAUGAAAUGAUGCUUUCAAGCUCAAAGGAUUGUUCAUUUACUGGGCCCCACAUGCUAGUUUUAUGUUGAGUGCAGCUGUUUUAAUGUGCAGUGACUUCUUCUGCAUGAACAAGACAGCUGGUCUGAUCGGGGUGGUGGGGUUCAACAGUAGUCUGGGCGCCCUGCACACCAUGUACCAGCUGGGGGUCCAUUACCUCACACUCCUGCAACACAGCGUGAUCACUUGGACCACAUAAAGAAACUGGCCUGGCCGAGGGUUUGGAGGAUGUGUCCAACAUGCCCAAACUAGUGGAUGAACUACUGAGGAGAGGAUGGACCGAUGAGGUGUCAUGGCUGCUCUGGGAAAUAACCUGCUCCGACUCCUGAGAGAGGCUGAGGAGGUGAGGAAUGAACACAAGCACCAAACGAGCUCUGUUCGAGGCCGUCUGAACGGCACAAGUCCAAAUGAAGUUCCUAUUCCAGGUGAGGGGGUGAAGAACCUACCCACUGGUGCCACCCAUCCACUCAGCACACUGGCCCUCCAGGCUCUGAUCACAUCAGCAGCUUCAUAGGCUGCUUAGUGCAACUGAUGGUGAAUCUUGACUUUCCCUAACGAAGGUGCAUCUCAUGAACCAUCAACUGCAAGUAUACAUAUAGCUGGAGCACAACACAAUGGAAGGACAAGGAAUUGGACGGUGUCAACAGUCAGAGAGAAGAAGAAGAGGAAGAGGAGUGAGGCUGCGUGUCAGAGGAGUUGGGAGGCAAAACAGAGGAAGAGGCAGAAGAGGCCGAGGACAUACGCAUGUUCCUGAUGAGAUAAGAGCCACACUUGUAGACCACGUUGUCAAUCAUGGGCUUACAAUGGCUGAGGCUGGUCGAAGGGUGCAGCCAAAUGUUGGGAGAACAACUGUGUCCUCAAUCAUUCAGAUUGUUCGUCGACAGAACAGGUAUGUAAUCUAACAAUAGGCACUGUUCUGUAAUGCUUCAUACAAUAUUACAGUAUUCCACUUGCAUUUUACAAUAUACAGUAAGUAGGCCUAUACUUUAUACAGUGACAUGUUAUCUUCCUGGAUUUUGUAUUUUGCAUUACUAUAUUU